AGAAUGAAAUAAAGAAAUGAAACUCACUAGGCAGACAAAACAGCAAAGUUUUUGCUUAGAAAACAUCCCUUUUCUAUGGGAGAGGAUGGGAAACUACAUCUGGGAGAGAGGCUUUUCCUGAAUUUGCUGUCUGAAUUGACCACUGCUUUGCAAUUAUUAACAGGUACAUGCAAAGUUUAAGAUUCUUAGCGUAAUUGAUUUUGUUUAGAUGCUACAAGAUGACAGCAGAUGUCCACCUACUGACUUUGUAUAUAGCUGAAUCACUUUCAGUAAAACUUUUGCAAAAGAUGGAAGCAAUAUGGAAGCAAAAUGCACCUUGGUUACCUGGAUGAACAGAAUCAACUCCCAUCCAAAAGGACCACGGGAGAAAAAGAGGGAAAAAAUACAAUGCCAAAAGAAAAAAAAUAAGGUAAAGAAAAAGAAGAACCUACCUGCGAAGUCUUGUUUGUAGUUUUGGCCAGAAAUUGUGAGAAGAAAAAGCAUGAAGAAGCCGCGAAGUGUGGGGGAGAAAAGGUGGAAGAGAAGCAGCUCCUGGAGAAAAUUGUAAAAAGCCUUGCAAAGAGUUGUCGGAAGGACCGUUAUUCCUGCUGGGCAGAGAAGAGAGGCGAGACCCUGAAACACGCGCCACCUAUCUUUGUGGGGAGGGAUAAUUGAAGAGCACUAAACGUGAGCAUCAUGUGAAAACGUGAUCGCCAAGUUUCUCUCUGGGAAAGGAUCUGGGAUAGAUUAUACCUUGAAGUCUCCGCAAACGCUUUAGUGGAAGAAAUGAAAUUCCACCUCCCUCCCUUCCUCCCUCCCUCCCUCCCUCUUUCUCUAUCCCUCCCUCC